rnacentral:lncRNA from 1 species
GGUGUGGUAGGAGACUCUGGAACCCUGUUCGAUUUUGAAGCACACCUUGACGACCCUGCUCGAUGCCUCGAAGGCCCAGACUACCUAAGGGUCACGCUCCCGCUCAAAGAGCGUCUGUGUCUCACGACGGCUGUGCCCGCUGCCCGCGUGCGCGCCGGGUCCCUGGCCAGAUGGGCGAGGUCAGGGCUCAGGAGCGUGAGUCUGAGGGCACCGGGGCUCUAUGUCUGCUGCUGCCUGUGGCUGUCCGACCCUCUUCAUUCCGGGCCCUGCCUUGUCCUGGCGUCUGGGGCUGGGGGACCGUGGCGGGGGCGCUCAAGAGACCCGGUUGGCAGCAUUUUCUGUGGAAACAGAUGCCUGAAGGUGGUUCUGUUCCCGGGACCCCCUGGAAGCUUCCCUGGGCCCACUGGCCGUGAGGGGACGCGUGCGUCUCCACAGGCCCCUGUCUCUGCCUCGGGAGGCUUGCCGGUGAGUCAUCUGGUCUUCGGCAGCUGUGGCUUUAGGGAAAACAAGAUUUUUCUGUACCUUUGUGAUUCCUGUGAAUAUUCACCCGUCCCCCCCACCGGGUGGGGUUUGGGGCUCUGUGUGCCCCGGCAUCAUGGGAUCGUCCUCUCGUGCCAGUCCCCGCACCCCUGUGCGUGCCUCCCCCCACCCCGCCCCCGGCCUCCCCGGGGUCCCCCAGGCGGCUUCUUUCUCUGCCCCCCUGCCCUGACCUUGGCACGCGGGGAGUCGAGCACAGUCCGAUGUCUGGAGGAAGCUCACCGGCGCCUCGCUGGCGUCGAGGCCUGGAGGGAGGGCUGGCGGCCUGUGCUCCGCCGUGAGUCCUGCCCACCCGCGCCCGCCCCGCUUCCGGGGCUCCCUCCAGGAGCCUCAGUCUGGGCACGCAGGGUGGGCAGGGGGAUGUGCAGGGGCCGCCUCCCGCAGGGAACGAUGAGGUGUCAUGUGCCCCCCAACAGGCACAGGCCUGCUCCCCCUGCGGCCCCGUCCUCGGCCUCCUUCCUCCUGUCCCGUCUCGCCCGGGUCUUGCCGCAAAGACUGUUUGCCCGCCCCUGGCCUGUGGGCUUCCAGCGCCCAGACACUGUCGUGUCCAGCUGGCGGGAGCCCAGCCCGGGCCUGCAUCCUCGGGGAGCCGCUUCCUUGGCGUGA